ACAGGCAACCUCCGCGUAAGCAUGCGCAAAAGGGCUCUGCGUCGGGGACGUCGCGCAAGGUCGCUUCCGUGUCAGAGACUUAAGAUGUACAUCUCUGAGUGCCCGGAUCGAUGGCUGCUAAGGAAAUGUUGCCCUUGACAGAAAGAAGACUGACCACUCCAUACACAAACUACCACCACUGCCCCGGUUUAAAGCAUACUGCACCUGUUGUAUGCUUGCAAUAAACUUAAUUUUCUGCA